UACCGCAAACCGACACAGGUGGGCGAGAUGAGUAUUCUAAGGCGCUUGAGAGAACUCGGGAGAAGGAACUCGGCAAAUUGGUACCGUAACUUCGGGAUAAGGUACGCCCUUGUAGCUUGACUGGCCUGCGCCAGAAGGGUGAAGGGGUUGCAAUAAACUGGUGGCUGCGACUGUUUAAUAAAAACACAGCACUCUGCAAACACGAAAGUGGACGUAUAGGGUGUGACGCCUGCCCGGUGCCGGAAGAUUAAAUGAUGGGGUGCAAGCUCUUGAUUGAAGUCCCGGUAAACGGCGGCCGUAACUANNUUGUCGGGUAAGUUCCGACCUGCACGAAUGGCGUAACGAUGGCCACACUGUCUCCUCCCGAGACUCAGCGAAGUUGAAGUGUUUGUGAUGAUGCAAUCUACCCGCGGCUAGACGGAAAGACCCCAUGAACCUUUACUGUAGCUUUGCAUUGGACUUUGAACCGAUCUGUGUAGGAUAGGUGGGAGGCUAUGAAACCGGAACGCUAGUUUCGGUGGAGCCGUCCUUGAAAUACCACCCUGGUUUGUUUGAGGUUCUAACCUUGGUCCGUGAUCCGGAUCGGGGACAGUGCAUGGUAGGCAGUUUGACUGGGGCGGUCUCCUCCCAAAGGGUAACGGAGGAGUACGAAGGUACGCUAGGUACGGUCGGAAAUCGUGCUGAUAGUGCAAUGGCAUAAGCGUGCUUAACUGCGAGACCGACAAGUCGAGCAGGUGCGAAAGCAGGUCAUAGUGAUCCGGUGGUUCUGUAUGGAAGGGCCAUCGCUCAA
rnacentral:rRNA from 1 species